rnacentral:rRNA from 1 species
GGUUAAGCGACUAAGCGUACACGGUGGAUGCCCUGGCAGUCAGAGGCGAUGAAGGACGUGCUAAUCUGCGAUAAGCGUCGGUAAGGUGAUAUGAACCGUUAUAACCGGCGAUUUCCGAAUGGGGAAACCCAGUGUGAUUCGUCACACUAUCAUUAACUGAAUCCAUAGGUUAAUGAGGCGAACCGGGGGAACUGAAACAUCUAAGUACCCCGAGGAAAAGAAAUCAACCGAGAUUCCCCCAGUAGCGGCGAGCGAACGGGGAGGAGCCCAGAGCCUGAAUCAGUGUGUGUGUUAGUGGAAGCGUCUGGAAAGGCGCGCGAUACAGGGUGACAGCCCCGUACACAAAAAUGCACAUACUGUGAGCUCGAUGAGUAGGGCGGGACACGUGGUAUCCUGUCUGAAUAUGGGGGGACCAUCCUCCAAGGCUAAAUACUCCUGACUGACCGAUAGUGAACCAGUACCGUGAGGGAAAGGCGAAAAGAACCCCGGCGAGGGGAGUGAAAAAGAACCUGAAACCGUGUACGUACAAGCAGUGGGAGCCUCUUUAUGGGGUGACUGCGUACCUUUUGUAUAAUGGGUCAGCGACUUAUAUUCUGUAGCAAGGUUAACCGAAUAGGGGAGCCGAAGGGAAACCGAGUCUUAACUGGGCGUUAAGUUGCAGGGUAUAGACCCGAAACCCGGUGAUCUAGCCAUGGGCAGGUUGAAGGUUGGGUAACACUAACUGGAGGACCGAACCGACUAAUGUUGAAAAAUUAGCGGAUGACUUGUGGCUGGGGGUGAAAGGCCAAUCAAACCGGGAGAUAGCUGGUUCUCCCCGAAAGCUAUUUAGGUAGCGCCUCGUGAAUUCAUCUCCGGGGGUAGAGCACUGUUUCGGCAAGGGGGUCAUCCCGACUUACCAACCCGAUGCAAACUGCGAAUACCGGAGAAUGUUAUCACGGGAGACACACGGCGGGUGCUAACGUCCGUCGUGAAGAGGGAAACAACCCAGACCGCCAGCUAAGGUCCCAAAGUCAUGGUUAAGUGGGAAACGAUGUGGGAAGGCCCAGACAGCCAGGAUGUUGGCUUAGAAGCAGCCAUCAUUUAAAGAAAGCGUAAUAGCUCACUGGUCGAGUCGGCCUGCGCGGAAGAUGUAACGGGGCUAAACCAUGCACCGAAGCUGCGGCAGCGACGCUUAUGCGUUGUUGGGUAGGGGAGCGUUCUGUAAGCCUGCGAAGGUGUACUGUGAGGUAUGCUGGAGGUAUCAGAAGUGCGAAUGCUGACAUAAGUAACGAUAAAGCGGGUGAAAAGCCCGCUCGCCGGAAGACCAAGGGUUCCUGUCCAACGUUAAUCGGGGCAGGGUGAGUCGACCCCUAAGGCGAGGCCGAAAGGCGUAGUCGAUGGGAAACAGGUUAAUAUUCCUGUACUUGGUGUUACUGCGAAGGGGGGACGGAGAAGGCUAUGUUGGCCGGGCGACGGUUGUCCCGGUUUAAGCGUGUAGGCUGGUUUUCCAGGCAAAUCCGGAAAAUCAAGGCUGAGGCGUGAUGACGAGGCACUACGGUGCUGAAGCAACAAAUGCCCUGCUUCCAGGAAAAGCCUCUAAGCAUCAGGUAACAUCAAAUCGUACCCCAAACCGACACAGGUGGUCAGGUAGAGAAUACCAAGGCGCUUGAGAGAACUCGGGUGAAGGAACUAGGCAAAAUGGUGCCGUAACUUCGGGAGAAGGCACGCUGAUACGUAGGUGAAGUCCCUCGCGGAUGGAGCUGAAAUCAGUCGAAGAUACCAGCUGGCUGCAACUGUUUAUUAAAAACACAGCACUGUGCAAACACGAAAGUGGACGUAUACGGUGUGACGCCUGCCCGGUGCCGGAAGGUUAAUUGAUGGGGUCAGCGCAAGCGAAGCUCUUGAUCGAAGCCCCGGUAAACGGCGGCCGUAACUAUAACGGUCCUAAGGUAGCGAAAUUCCUUGUCGGGUAAGUUCCGACCUGCACGAAUGGCGUAAUGAUGGCCAGGCUGUCUCCACCCGAGACUCAGUGAAAUUGAACUCGCUGUGAAGAUGCAGUGUACCCGCGGCAAGACGGAAAGACCCCGUGAACCUUUACUAUAGCUUGACACUGAACAUUGAGCCUUGAUGUGUAGGAUAGGUGGGAGGCUUUGAAGUGUGGACGCCAGUCUGCAUGGAGCCGACCUUGAAAUACCACCCUUUAAUGUUUGAUGUUCUAACGUUGGCCCCUAAUCGGGGUUGCGGACAGUGUCUGGUGGGUAGUUUGACUGGGGCGGUCUCCUCCUAAAGAGUAACGGAGGAGCACGAAGGUUGGCUAAUCCUGGUCGGACAUCAGGAGGUUAGUGCAAUGGCAUAAGCCAGCUUGACUGCGAGCGUGACGGCGCGAGCAGGUGCGAAAGCAGGUCAUAGUGAUCCGGUGGUUCUGAAUGGAAGGGCCAUCGCUCAACGGAUAAAAGGUACUCCGGGGAUAACAGGCUGAUACCGCCCAAGAGUUCAUAUCGACGGCGGUGUUUGGCACCUCGAUGUCGGCUCAUCACAUCCUGGGGCUGAAGUAGGUCCCAAGGGUAUGGCUGUUCGCCAUUUAAAGUGGUACGCGAGCUGGGUUUAGAACGUCGUGAGACAGUUCGGUCCCUAUCUGCCGUGGGCGCUGGAGAACUGAGGGGGGCUGCUCCUAGUACGAGAGGACCGGAGUGGACGCAUCACUGGUGUUCGGGUUGUCAUGCCAAUGGCACUGCCCGGUAGCUAAAUGCGGAAGAGAUAAGUGCUGAAAGCAUCUAAGCACGAAACUUGCCCCGAGAUGAGUUCUCCCUGAGACUUUAAGUCUCCUGAAGGAACGUUGAAGACGACGACGUUGAUAGGCCGGGUGUGUAAGCGCAGCGAUGCGUUGAGCUAACCGGUACUAAUGAACCGUGAGGCUUAACCUU